UACGUAGGGUGCGAGCGUUAAUCGGAAUACUGGGCGUAAAGCGUGCGCAGGCGGCGCGUUAAGACAGGUGUGAAAGCCCCGAGCUUAACUUGGGAAUUGCGCUUGUGACUGGCGUGCUGGAGUGUGGCAGAGGGAGGUGGAAUUCCGACGUGUAGCAGUGGAAAUGCGUAGGAGAUGAUGGAGGAACACCGAUGGCGAAGGCAGCCUCCUGGGCCAGCACUGG
rnacentral:rRNA from 1 species